rnacentral:rRNA from 1 species
UACGGCCGCAAGGUUAAAACUCAAAUGAAUUGACGGGGGCCCGCACAAGCGGUGGAGCAUGUGGUUUAAUUCGAUGCAACGCGAAGAACCUUACCUGGUCUUGACAUCCACAGAACUUUCCAGAGAUGGAUUGGUGCCUUCGGGAACUGUGAGACAGGUGCUGCAUGGCUGUCGUCAGCUCGUGUUGUGAAAUGUUGGGUUAAGUCCCGCAACGAGCGCAACCCUUAUCCUUUGUUGCCAGCGGUCCGGCCGGGAACUCAAAGGAGACUGCCAGUGAUAAACUGGAGGAAGGUGGGGAUGACGUCAAGUCAUCAUGGCCCUUACGACCAGGGCUACACACGUGCUACAAUGGCGCAUACAAAGAGAAGCGACCUCGCGAGAGCAAGCGGACCUCAUAAAGUGCGUCGUAGUCCGGAUUGGAGUCUGCAACUCGACUCCAUGAAGUCGGAAUCGCUAGUAAUCGUGGAUCAGAAUGCCACGGUGAAUACGUUCCCGGGCCUUGUACACACCGCCCGUCACACCAUGGGAGUGGGUUGCAAAAGAAGUAGGUAGCUUAACCUUCGGGAGGGCGCUUACCACUUUGUGAUUCAUGACUGGGGUGAAGUCGUAACAAGGUAACCGUAGGGGAACCUGCGGUUGGAUCAC